rnacentral:lncRNA from 1 species
GGGAGCUUAGAUGUGGAAGCUCUUUGGAAACCAAGAAACACUCUGAAAAUGAAAAGGGUGGAAGAGUAAACUGUUCCUGUUUCUCCAUCUUGACAGGAAGCAGAAGUUCUCCUUAGCUGAUUUUUCUUCUUGCCUUAUACUGGGUUCUUUAACACCAGAACAAAAAUAAAUAAAUAAAAGAAUCUUCCAGAAAUUCAUGAAGAGACUUCAGGUCAGGAAAGCCUGAACUUUCUCAUCCAACACCCGUUCAAGUCGGAGGAUGCUGAUUAAUUCAUGAUGGAAAGGUAUCAAUUUCACAGCCCAGACCUCUACAUUCUUGAAAUGCUCUUCUCAUGGGAGACAUUAAAUAAGCUUUGAAUUAACUCUCUUCUUGGACUAAAAGGCCCUCAGCAUUCCUGUCAAUUUCUACACUCCUGAAGCUUCAUCUGGAGACCUCUGUGGAUUCUAUAACUCAAAGACCCAGGCUGACGGCUGGUGGAAUAGCUACCAUCUCAAACAUGGCGUGAUGCUGCAUCAGAGAGAAAAAUAAGCUCUUGCAUUGACAAUGAAAUGUCUACCCUGUAGUGACUUGUGCUUACUUCCACUCACAAGUGAUUGCCCAGAGCUACUUACCUGGCUCCAAUCUACCACUGGGUGUGUACUUGCAAUCUACCAUGUACCUAGAAGAUGAGAGAAACAAAUUAUUAAUGAUGACCACACCCCAAUACUAACAACAAUUGCAGAAGAAUCAAUGACUUAAACAAAAAUGUGGCCAUUGAAGGAAUAGAAAAUAUAGUGAGUUUAGUGUAAAUUUAAAAGUGAUUUAUAAGUAACAUACAAAAUCCAGAAACUAUAAGAAAACAGAUUCACAAAUAUAAAUAUAUAAAGCUUUAAAAAAGUUUAAUGUAACAAAAAUGGCAUAAAAGGAGUCAAAAGUUUUUAAAAAAUAUGUUAAUGCAGUAGAUUAGGUGCUAAUUUUCUUAAUAUACUAAUAACUCAAUAAGAGAAAUUUUGU